rnacentral:rRNA from 1 species
AACACGUGAGUAACCUGCCCUUGACUCUGGGAUAAGCCCGGGAAACUGGGUCUAAUACCGGAUAGGAGCGCCUGUCGCAUGACGGGUGCUGGAAAGAUCUUUCGGUCAUGGAUGGGCUCGCGGCCUAUCAGCUUGUUGGUGAGGUAACGGCUCACCAAGGCGACGACGGGUAGCCGGCCUGAGAGGGUGACCGGCCACACUGGGACUGAGACACGGCCCAGACUCCUACGGGAGGCAGCAGUGGGGAAUAUUGCACAAUGGGCGAAAGCCUGAUGCAGCGACGCCGCGUGAGGGAUGACGGCCUUCGGGUUGUAAACCUCUUUCAGCAGGGAAGAAGCGAAAGUGACGGUACCUGCAGAAGAAGCACCGGCUAACUACGUGCCAGCAGCCGCGGUAAUACGUAGGGUGCGAGCGUUAUCCGGAAUUAUUGGGCGUAAAGAGCUCGUAGGCGGUUUGUCACGUCUGUCGUGAAAGUCCGGGGCUUAACCCCGGAUCUGCGGUGGGUACGGGCAGACUAGAGUGCAGUAGGGGAGACUGGAAUUCCUGGUGUAGCGGUGGAAUGCGCAGAUAUCAGGAGG